UACGUAGGGCGCAAGCGUUGUCCGGAAUUAUUGGGCGUAAAGGGCUCGUAGGCGGUUUGUCGCGUCGGGAGUGAAAACACUGGGCUUAACCCAGUGCUUGCUUUCGAUACGGGCAGACUAGAGGUAUGCAGGGGAGAACGGAAUUCCUGGUGUAGCGGUGAAAUGCGCAGAUAUCAGGAGGAACACCGGUGGCGAAGGCGGUUCUCUGGGCAUGAUCUGACGCUGAGGAGCGAAAGUGUGGGGAGCGAACAGG
rnacentral:rRNA from 1 species